rfam:Ixodes scapularis strain Wikel colony gcontig_1108379357836, whole genome shotgun sequence.
CGUCCAGUGGCCGCGAGAUAUGUUUGAUAUUCUUGGUUGUGCCACGAACCAACCAGGAGUCAGACAUAUGCUCGCGGAGCUGGUCC